rnacentral:rRNA from 1 species
GCAGUAAUGCGUUAAGCUAACCAGUACUAAUUGCCCGUAAGGCUUGAUCCUA